rnacentral:rRNA from 1 species
AACGAACGCUGGCGGCAUGCCUAACACAUGCAAGUCGAACGAGACCUUCGGGUCUAGUGGCGCACGGGUGCGUAACGAGUGGGAACCUGCACUUAGGUUCGGAAUAACUCCCCGAAAGGGGUGCUAAUACCGGAUAAUGUCUUAGGACCAAAGAUUUAUCGCCUUUGGAUGGGCCCGCGUUGGAUUAGCUAGUUGGUAGGGUAAAAGCCUACCAAGGCGACGAUCCAUAGCUGGUCUGAGAGGAUGAUCAGCCACACUGGGACUGAGACACGGCCCAGACUCCUACGGAAGGCAGCAGUGGGGAAUAUUGGACAAUGGGCGAAAGCCUGAUCCAGCAGUGCCGCGUGAGUGAUGAAGGCCUUAGGGUUGUAAAGCUCUUUUACCCGGGAUGAUAAUGACAGUACCGGGAGAAUAAGCUCCGGCUAACUCCGUG